rnacentral:sRNA from 1 species
AGUCUAUGGCAAAAAGUGUUCUGAAACAAACAGAAGCAACAACACAGGUGUCCGAGUGGGACUAGCCGUUGGUACUUUGUUACUUGGACUCAUUGUUGGUGGGCUGUCGACAUUCAUAGUUAUGAAAUUCAAAUUUAGAAGGAACAUUCCAGAAGAUUCACAAAUUCUAACCCCAUUAGGGGACUGAUCAUCAUAUAAAGAGUUCUUAUGUGGCUUUUGAAAAAAUAUGCAAAUAGGAAUUUAAAUUAAAAUUAUAACAAAACGGCAUUCUAAAAGGAAGAAGCAAGCUAUAGCUUUUUAAAAGCACCAUAUAUUCAGGCAAAUGUAUAUAUCUAUUUAUUAAAAAGACGAAUAUAAAUAAUACUAAAACUCUAAAAAGCUAUCAAUGUCUACUUUCAAUGUCUAAUCAUUGUUAUUUGAAUAUUCUGUUUUAUACAUAUGUUAUGGAGUGUUUGUGUGUGUGUGUGUGUGUGUCCAUGGUAACGAUGGAUUGAGGUUAGCGAUUGGUAGGUGGCUAUGAAGUGUGCAAGAUUAGCUGCACUGACGUAAGCUGUCUUACGUAGGCCAGGCGAGUUCAGAAUGCCAGAGUGAAAUGACGUGUUUUUGUAGUAAAUUAGAUUUUGUUGAAAAUCCCAUUUAAAAUUACUAAGAAAGUCUUCUACAUUUAUUUCAUGCCAUCUCAAGUUAAUACAAUAUAUAUAUAAUAGUGUUCACCAAAGAAGAUAUUCAUUUUUAUUUUCAAAAUUAACAAGUUAAAAUAUAAUAGCGGUUUUAGUUGUCUACCAGCAGUUUGAUUGUACAAGUCAACUACCGCCAAAUACAGAAUGUUACAGAUAUAUUUUUGUAUCUGAAGAUUUUUUUUGAUGUAUCGCUGUAUUUAUUAAUUAUUAAAAAAAACAUCAAGAAAGUAGAUUAUCUCAUUAUAUUAUUUUGUUCUAUCGUUAGUGGUCUUAACUGUCUUUACGAGAUAUAUAUAUUUGUUUGAUGUUUGUUCGUAAACAUUUCAAUUCGUUCUGUACGACUUCGUAUAUUAAUGAAAGUUUGAUAUAGUCAAUUCUUCCGAGUCAUGGAGAGCAACAAAAA